CGCACGGAGGAGCACGCCGACGCCACCGCGCCACGCCGCUCGGCGACCGGCCUCCCGCAGCCCCGCGGCCCCCGCCUUCCCUCCCUCCGCGCCGGGAAGGCAAACUUUACCUCUGACCCCACCCUCGCCUGCUUUCCCUCGCCUGCCACUCGGCACGUGGAGGAAGAUAUGCUUCACGGUGACCGUGAAGGAAGCACACCUCCCUCCACCCCGACCCUUGAUGGACCCCGGGAGCCCGGCCUCCCGGUUGUGGAGGUUCUUGGAGGUGUUGCCAGGACAAUGGAUGUGCCCAUAUCGGAGAUCUACUGACAAGGAGCACGGUGGGAGGAUUGCUGGUUAUCUAGAGUCCUAUGCUUACCCGGCCAGGCUCCUCCCUUCUGCUCCGGGUUUCAUAUUUUGAGCAACACUGUUCCUGUGUUAGAAUGAGACAAGAUACCUGACCAACCCAUGAAGAUUUAAUAUUUGCACGUCUUUACCCCUGGGCUAACGAAGUAUAGGUGGGGCUACCAGACAAGGAGAAUUCCAGGAAGAGGAACCCAGAGGUGAGUCAUGAGAGAGACGCCAGGUAGCUGCCGAAAAAGCAAGAAGCUUGGGCAUCACUGGUAUGUGUGCACACCACGUAUAUGCCUGGUAUGUAACGAGGUCAGAAGAGGGCAUCGGAUCUCUGGAACUACAACUGUGGACGAUUGUGAGCCAUUAUGUGGGUGCUGGGACCCAAACCCAAGUCCUCUGCAAAAGCGGCAAGUUCUCUGAACCACUGGGCCACCUGUCCUGCUCCUCUUCAGUUUUAUUUAUACAAAAGAGACUAAAAAUUAGAGGAAUUCUGGCAGAGUGAGCCAAGAUUCAAUGAUCUCCUGUGGAAAGAAAAGAAAAAAAAGAAUAAUAAUUUUUCAGAUGGGUUAUCAGGAUAAAAGGGACUAUUGUUUUAAAUGUACAUGUGAGUGUCAUUUGAA